AGCCUAGCAGAGAAUCAACGCUCUGGCCUUGGCCUGCUAGAGAGCCUGUCUGAAUUUUCUUUAUAAAAUAAACAAUCCCAAUAUUGAUUUUUGGACAAGGCAUGUCUCCUCUCUGAGCAUCCACCACGUCAAACCAUGGGUGCCCUUGCCAUGGGAUGAUGAAGGCAGAGCUGGGUGGGCGUGUCAGUUCUGCGCACACAGACAAGGAGCAGCCUGCUGUCUAAUGUCCAGUCCUGGGUGCACCAGGCAACAGUCUGUGACACCCCUUAGCAGAGAGGGUCCCCCAACAGUUUGUCUUUGUGUUUCAGGAGCAAAGAAAAUACAUGCACUCUAUAACCGCUUAUUACCCUGGAUUCCCUGUCACAGAGGUGGAGAGAAGAUUCUGACCAAUACGUUUAAAUGGUCUUGGUUGAUCGUUUGGAGCUGGAAGGAGAAAGGCUGUCAUCUCAAAGUGGAGGAUGACUAAGGAGUGCCCAGGAAGCCAGCAGAGGCGGAAAGAGGCGGAAAGAGCAUCACACCGAAUGGUGUGGUCCGCAAAGGCGGAGGGAUAUUGAGUGAAGAUGGCCGAGGCUAGCCAAUGAGAAUAGAAUGCAAGCCAGAAGUGCAAGCCACACACGGAAUUUUACAUUUCUAGUGGCCACAU
rnacentral:lncRNA from 1 species